rnacentral:rRNA from 1 species
UACAGAGGUCUCAAGCGUUGUUCGGAUUCAUUGGGCGUAAAGGGUGCGUAGGUGGCGAGGUAAGUUGGAUGUGAAAUCCCAGGGCUCAACCCUGGAACUGCAUUCAAUACUGCCUUGCUAGAGUACUGGAGAGGAGAUUGGAAUUUACGGUGUAGCAGUGAAAUGCGUAGAUAUCGUAAGGAAGACCAGUGGCGAAGGCGGAGUCUCUGGACAGUUACUGACACUGAGGCAGCGAAGGCCAGGGGAGCAAACGGG